GAUGAACGCUGGCGGCGUGCCUAAUACAUGCAAGUCGAGCGAACAGACGAGGAGCUUGCUCCUCUGACGUUAGCGGCGGACGGGUGAGUAACACGUGGAUAACCUACCUAUAAGACUGGGAUAACUUCGGGAAACCGGAGCUAAUACCGGAUAAUAUAUUGAACCGCAUGGUUCAAUAGUGAAAGACGGUUUUGCUGUCACUUAUAGAUGGAUCCGCGCCGCAUUAGCUAGUUGGUAAGGUAACGGCUUACCAAGGCAACGAUGCGUAGCCGACCUGAGAGGGUGGUCGGCCGCACUGGAACUGAGACGCGGUCCAGACUCCUACGGGAGGCAGCAGUAGGGAAUCUUCCGCAAUGGGCGAAAGCCUGACGGAGCAACGCCGCGUGAGUGAUGAAGGUCUUCGGAUCGUAAAACUCUGUUAUUAGGGAAGAACAAAUGUGUAAGUAACUAUGCACGUCUUGACGGUACCUAAUCAGAAAGCCACGGCUAACUACGUG
rnacentral:rRNA from 1 species